rnacentral:precursor_RNA from 9 species
UGAGGUAAAAGAUACAACCUUGAUGGAAGCCCGUCUGAAAUUUGUGCUCAGGCCUGUUUCUAUGACUAGGUGAGCAAAGUUUCAGGUGUGUUGCCGUCUGAGGGAGAGCAGCAGCUGUCUA